rnacentral:rRNA from 1 species
GACGAACGCUGGCGGCACGCUUAAAACAUGCAAGUCGAACGUGAAGCCCGGGCUUGCCCGGGUGGAAAGUGGCGAACGGGUGCGUAACACGUGAGCAACCUGCCCCGAAGACUGGGAUAACACCGGGAAACCGGUGCUAAUACCGGAUGCCUUCACCAUGUCGCAUGGCGAGGUGAAGAAAUGGAUUCCGCCUUGGGAUGGGCUCGCGGCCUAUCAGCUUGUUGGUGGGGUAAUGGCCUACCAAGGCAACGACGGGUAGCUGGUCUGAGAGGAUGUCCAGCCACACUGGGACUGAGACACGGCCCAGACUCCUACGGGAGGCAGCAGUUAGGAAUCUUGCGCAAUGGGCGAAAGCCUGACGCAGCGAUGCCGCGUGCGGGAUGAAGGCCCUCGGGUCGUAAACCGCUUUCAGCAGGGACGAUUAUGACGGUACCUGCAGAAGAAGCCCCGGCCAACUACGUGCCAGCAGCCGCCGUAAAAC